GCCUGGAUGGCUCAGUUGGUUAAGCGUCAGACUUCAGUUCAGGUCAUGAUCUCAUGGUUUGUGGGUUCAAGCCCCAUGUCGGGCU
rnacentral:tRNA from 1 species